rnacentral:rRNA from 1 species
UACGGGGGGGGCAAGCGUUGUUCGGAAUUACUGGGCGUAAAGGGGACGUAGGCGGCCAACUAAGUCCGACGUGAAAUCCCAAGGCUUAACCUUGGAACUGCGUCGGAUACUGGAUGGCUUGAAUUCGGGAGAGGGAUGCGGAAUUCCAGGUGUAGCGGUGAAAUGCGUAGAUAUCUGGAGGAACACCGGUGGCGAAGGCGGCAUCCUGGACCGAGAUUGACGCUGAGGCGCGAAAGCCAGGGGAGCAAACGGG